GUAGAGUACAAGCGUUAUCCGGAUUUAUUGGGCGUAAAGCGUAUAGCAGGUGGGGAUAUACGUGGCGGGUGCAAGCCUUCAGCUCAACUGAAGAACUGCUUGUCAUACGGUAUCUCUUGAGUCUGUUGGAGGGAACUGGAAUUCUUCGUGGAGGGGUGAAAUCCGUAGAUACGAAGAGGAACGCCAAGGGUGAAGACAAGUUCCUACGGCAGCACUGACACUCAUGAACGACAGCUAGGGGAGCAAAAGGGAUUAGAGACCCCUGUAGUCCUAGCCGUAAACUUUGGACACUAGUUGCCCCCUUUUAGGGGGUGACGUAAGCUAACGCGUUAAGUGUCCCGCCUGGGGAGUACGGCCGCAAGGCUA
rnacentral:rRNA from 1 species